rnacentral:rRNA from 1 species
UACGGAGGGUGCAAACGUUGCUCGGAAUUAUUGGGCGUAAAGCGCGCGUAGGCGGCCGCUUAAGUCGGAUGUGAAAGCCCCUGGCUCAACUGGGGAAGUGCACCCGAAACUGAGUGGCUUGAGUACUAAAGAGGGUCGCGGAAUUCCCGGUGUAGAGGUGAAAUUCGUAGAUAUCGGGAGGAACACCGGUGGCGAAGGCGGCGACCUGGGUAGAUACUGACGCUGAGGCGCGAAAGCGUGGGGAGCAAACAGG